rnacentral:rRNA from 1 species
UUGGUCAUUUAGAGGAAGUAAAAGUCGUAACAAGGUUUCCGUAGGUGAACCUGCGGAAGGAUCAUUAUCGAGUUUUUGAAAAGGUUGUUGCUGACCCCUUUCACGAGAGGGGUAUGUGCACGCUUUGUCCCAAAUUUUACCACCUGUGCACCUUUUGUAGGCCGGCUUCGCAAGAAAUCGGUUUAUGUUUUUACAUACCCAUUUAAGGCUAUAGAAUGUCCUAUUAUAGUAUAGGCUUGUCCUAAAAAGGCAAGCUGAAAUUUAUACAACUUUCAACAACGGAUCUCUUGGCUCUCGCAUCGAUGAAGAACGCAGCGAAAUGCGAUAAGUAAUGUGAAUUGCAGAAUUCAGUGAAUCAUCGAAUCUUUGAACGCACCUUGCGCCCCUUGGUAUUCUGAGGAGCAUGCCUGUUUGAGUGUCAUUAAAUUCUCAACCCUCACCAGGGUUUCUGGUGGGAGGCUUGGAUUUGGAGUGUGCUGGCUUCUAGGAGUCGGCUCCUCUUUAAAUGCAUUAGCGUACCCUUUGUGGAUAGGCUUUGGUUUGAUAAUUAUCUAUGCCAUUGUCGUGAAGCAAUUUGAUGAAGGUUUUCGCUUCCAACUGUCCUUGGACAACUCUUGAUAUUUUGACCUCAAAUCAGGUAGGACUACCCGCUGAACUUAAGCAUAUCAAUAAGCGGAGGAA